rnacentral:lncRNA from 1 species
GGCAAAGCUACUAAGCGGCUAAUGGCAAUCCAGGCUGAAUGCAGACAGCACCAGGCUCCAUCAUGCUGCUAAGACCGGCGCCAUUUAGAACAUAUGCAUGUUUAUUUCUGGAAUUGUUUAUUCGUGUCACAAUGCUUGCAUCAUUCAUCUCAUUUCAUCUCAUCACACGGGCAUCGUAUCAUCUCACGUCAUCACAAGGAGAAGUCUUCUUUUGCAGGAAUGACUUCAUUCUACCACCCUUUGCUGCCAUAUCAGGACGUCGGGAAGCAAAGAGACAUGUCGGCUUGAUCAGCACACAGGUCAUUCCUAGAGAGAUCAGCUCAGUCACCGAGCAGGCAGGAACAGGCACUCUGGAGGGGAGAAGCAGGCCCAGGAGGAUGAGUCAAGGCAGGGAUUGAAACUGCAGGAUGAGGGAGUCAGCGCCUGGGAACCCACAGGGCGGAGUUAGAUAAGAAGAAAUGCACGCGGAAUCUGCAGUUUAAAUGGAGCCUGGGGUUUGUAAAGAGGAGUCGGGCGUUCUUUACCUUGUCAGUUCCGACUGCUUUGUGCACAGCUGACUCAGAGACCGGGUGGGGCUGCCCUCUUAGGUGA